AUGCUCGGUAUAUUUAGAACCUUCAUUGCACAGAAUGUUUUCAAGGGAUUACGUUGUUACGAAAAUUCAAGAUGCCGGUAUAUUCUUCAUAAUUUACUUACUUUUACCACACGAUGGAAUUUGCACUACAUGUAAACCUGACUACCCUUAUCAAGGUCCGUGUAAUGCCACUAAGCCGGGAUGGACAUAUAAUGCAUCAUGUCAUGAAUGUGAUGGACACAUACAUGGAUGCGAUGGUCUUCUAAACGUGUUUCACAGCUGCUUUAUGUGUGCCAUUCAAUGUCAUGUUGGAGGUUAUCCAGACGAUUACUGCCCGCCAAGAUGGCGCGCACUUGAAUAAACACCCAGAAGAUCCUAAAGAAUACAGCAUUUGUGAGGAAAUGUCGGACCAUGACAUUUGCUGUAACGAAUAAAUCUCUAAAUUCAAUCAUUUCGUUGAACAUGGAGCCGAUUUGGGAGCAUGAACUGUUUUAUGCAUUGUACUUAGGUUACGGUAGUACAAGUGCAGAUUGUAAGACAGAUUAUUACAAAAUUCAGCAUGAAUAUUCAUUGCUAAUAUCGCAGUGGGCUCAGUAAAGAAAUUGCGCCUAUAAAUAAACCUGAAUAGGGCCUCCCGUAAAAAAUUGAAGGCUUUCUCAUGCUACACAUGAGGACAAAUUAUCAGAAAGCAUCUGUGCUGUCGUUCUUAAUGAAUAU